UCCUGAGUAGCUUAGUUGGAAGAGCAAUGCGCUUGAACCGCUGGGGUUGUGGGUUUGAUUCCCACGGGAG
rnacentral:tRNA from 1 species